GAAACGGCUGCUAAUACCGCAUAAGCGCACGAGAGGACAUCCUCUUGUGUGAAAAACUCCGGUGGUACAGGAUGGGCCCGCGUCUGAUUAGCUGGUUGGCAGGGUAACGGCCUACCAAGGCGACGAUCAGUAGCCGGUCUGAGAGGAUGAACGGCCACAUUGGAACUGAGACACGGUCCAGACUCCUACGGGAGGCAGCAGUGAGGAAUAUUGGUCAAUGGGCGAAAGCCUGAACCAGCCAUGCCGCGUGAAGGAAUAAGGCCCUAUGGGUAGUAAACUUCUUUUGACGGGGAGCAAUAAGGUCUACGUGUAGGCCGAUGAGAGUACUCGUCGAAUAAGCAUCGGCUAACUCCGUGCCAGCAGCCGCGGUAAUACGGAGGAUGCGAGCGUUAUCCGGAAUUAUUGGGUUUAAAGGGUGCGUAGGCUGUUUGUUAAGUCAGGGGUGAAAUACCGCAGCUCAACUGUGGAAUUGCCUUUGAUACUAGCAGGCUUGAAUACUGUUGCCGUGGGAGGAAUGAGUAGUGUAGCGGUGAAAUGCAUAGAUAUUACUCAAAACACCGAUUGCGAAGGCAUCUCACGAAACAGGCAUUGACGCUGAGGCACGAAAGCGUGGGGAUCAAACAGAAUCAGAUACCCUGGUAGUCCACACCGUAAACGAUGAUUAAUAGGUGUUGGAGGAUUGACCCCUUCAGUGCCGCAGUUAACGCGAAAAGGAUUCCACCUGGGGAGUCGGACGGCAAGGGUUGAAACUCAAGGGAAUGACAGGGGGCCCGCACAAGCAGUGGGGUAUGUGGUUUAAUUCGACGCAACGCGAGGAACGUUACCGAGUCUUGACAUCCCUUGACGAUGGUGGAAACAGUAUUUCUGUUCGGAGCAAGGAGACAGGUGGUGCAUGGUUGUCGUCAGCUCGUGUCGUGAGAUGUUGGGUUAUGUCCCGCAACGAGCGCAACCCUUAUGGUCAGUUACUACGCAAGAGGACUCUGGCCAGACUGCCGUUGACAAAACGGAGGAAGGUGGGGAUGACGUCAAAUCAUCAUGCCCUUUAUGACUUGGGCUACACACGUACUACAAUGGC
rnacentral:rRNA from 1 species